rnacentral:rRNA from 1 species
UAGGGAAUCUUCCACAAUGGACGCAAGUCUGAUGGAGCAACGCCGCGUGAGUGAAGAAGGUUUUCGGAUCGUAAAGCUCUGUUGUUGGUGAAGAAGGAUAGAGGCAGUAAAUGGUCUUUAUUUGACGGUAAUCAACCAGAAAGUCACGGCUAAAUACGUGCCAGCAGCCGCGGUAAUACGUAGGUGGCAAGCGUUGUCCGGAUUUAUUGGGCGUAAAGCGAGCGCAGGCGGAAUGAUAAGUUUGAUGUGAAAGCCCACGGCUCAACCGUGGAACUGCAUCGGAAACUGUCAUUCUUGAGUGCAGAAGAGGAGAGUGGAAUUCCAUGUGUAGCGGUGGAAUGCGUAGAUAUAUGGAAGAACACCGGUGGCGAAGGCGGCUCUCUGGUCUGUAACUGACGCUGAGGCUCGAAAGCAUGGGGAGCAAACAGGAUUAGAUACCCUGGUAGUCCAUGCCGUAAACGAUGAGUGCUAGGUGUUGGGGACUUUCCGGGGCUCAGUGCCGCAGCAAACGCAUUAAGCGCUCCGCCUGGGGAGUACGACCGCAAGGUUG